GAACCAUAGCAAUAACCCUGGUAGAAGCAAUAAAUAAAUAAAAAUUUAGUGUAUAUGGUAAAAUACGGUGAGAAGUCACCAUGGCCCUUCUAGAAUGUUUGGAUGGAACAAAAGGCUGCCAAUGUUUUCAGAAAUAACAACUGAGAAGUAGUUUUCCCUGUACUUAUGAUUGAUUAGAAGCUCUUCACAUAACGCUAAUAGGAUUAUAUGUCUUUCAAUGGGGCAGUGUAUUAUCUAAUUGCAGCAUAAAUACAAUUCACAGUGCUUUAUAUUUUCCUUUGCACAGGCUUCAAGGACCUGCUCUGCAGUACUAAAGAGCCACAAGGGAUAUUAAAACUGAUCAGUGACCACUCUAGAUGGUGGACCAUACUGUGAAAUUUGCUGUUCUUCGAUUGCUCCUUUCGACACACGCCCCAAGGAAUCUCAGAAUUUUAGAAACUAGAGAUGUAAUAGCCUAAAUAGGUCAUCUAUUCCAAUAGAAAUUUUACGAGAUUUAUAUAAGACUCUUUUGAAUUUACAAUACAACUUAUUUUCAAGGGGAUCCAAACACUGAAUAGAAAAUUGGCUUUUUUUUCAGUCAACCUCACAUCAUAUUUUAUGUUUUACGAUUAAUCAUGUUUUUCUCUUGUGAAGAUAAUAUGCUAUCAGAAUGUGCACCUAGAAUUACUUCUCAGUGAAAGAACUGGAUUUGAAAUGGUCCAUCUCCAGAGUCACAUCUCCACCCAUCUCUCCAACCCCAAGAUAAUGGCUAUAUUUGCAAUCCAUCUAUCAGAGGUCUUACUGAGGAAUAUCCCAUAACCCUAAAAGAACUUACAGCCAAAUGUACUCCCAAAUCAUUUCAGCAUUCUGAAUACCAAGUAUGUGUAAAGAAUAA